rnacentral:rRNA from 1 species
GACAGAGGUGCCGAGCGUUAGGCGGAAUCACUGGGCUUAAAGCGUGUGUAGGCGGGUCGUUAAGUGCCUUGUGAAAUCCCACAGCUCACCUGUGGAACUGCUUGGCAUACUGGCGAUCUUGAGCCACUUAGGGGCAACCGGAACAAACGGUGGAGCGGUGAAAUGCGUAGAUAUCAGGAGGAACACCGAUGGCGAAGGCAGGUCUCUGGGCCACUACUGACGCUGAGAAGCGAAAGCAUGGGGAGCGAACAGG